CAUCGCCUCUUGCCCCCAAAAUAUGAGAGGUCCCGCCUGCCCUGUGACUAUAAGUUUAACGGCCGCGGUAUUUUAACCGUGCGAAGGUAGCGUAAUCACUUGUCUUUUAAAUGAAGACCUGUAUGAAUGGCAUCACGAGGGCUUAGCUGUCUCCCAUCUCCAGUCAAUGAAAUUGACCUCCCUGUGCAGAGGCGGGGAUGACUACAUAAGACGAGAAGACCCUAUGGAGCUUUAGACCUAAAGUAAGUCACGUUUAAUAUGCUAUGAUAACAGCGAAAACUUAGUGAUAUUUACUGAAGUGUCUUUGGUUGGGGCGACCGCGGGGUAAAACACAACCCCCAUGUGGACCGGGGAUAUUAUCCCUAAUACUCAGAGCCUCUACUCCAAGUAACAGAAAUUCUGACUUUUCUGAUCCGGUAUAACCGAUCAACGAACCGAGUUACCCUAGGGAUAACAGCGCAAUCCCCUCUCAGAGCCCAUAUCGACGAGGGGGUUUACGACCUCGAUGUUGGAUCAGGACAUCCUAAUGGUGCAGCCGCUAUUAAGGGUUCGUUUGUUCAACGAUUAAAGUCCUACGUGA
rnacentral:rRNA from 1 species